rnacentral:rRNA from 1 species
GGGUGAUGGCGUGCCUUUUGUAGAAUGAACCGGCGAGUUACGAUCUGAUGCAAGGUUAAGCAGGAAAUGUGGAGCCGUAGCGAAAGCGAGUCUGAAUAGGGCGUUGAGUAUUUGGUCGUAGACCCGAAACCAGGUGAUCUACCCAUGGUCAGGUUGAAGUUCAGGUAACACUGAAUGGAGGACCGAACCGACUUACGUUGAAAAGUGAGCGGAUGAACUGUGGGUAGCGGAGAAAUUCCAAUCGAACUUGGAGAUAGCUGGUUCUCUCCGAAAUAGCUUUAGGGCUAGCCUCAAGUGAUGAUUAUUGGAGGUAGAGCACUGUUUGGACGAGGGGCCCCUCUCGGGUUACCGAAUUCAGACAAGCUCCGAAUGCCAAUUAAUUUAACUUGGGAGUCAGAACAUGUGUGAUAAGGUCCGUGUUCGAAAGGGAAACAGCCCAGACCACCAGCUAAGGUCCCAAAAUAUAUGUUAAGUGGAAAAGGAUGUGGCGUUGCCCAGACAACUAGGAUGUUGGCUUAGAAGCAGCCAUCAUUUAAAGAGUGCGUAAUAGCUCACUAGUCGAGUGACACUGCGCCGAAAAUGUACCGGGGCUAAACAUAUUACCGAAGCUGUGGAUUGUCC